AACGAACGCUGGCGGCAUGCCUAACACAUGCAAGUCGAACGAGACCUUCGGGUCUAGUGGCGCACGGGUGCGUAACGCGUGGGAACCUGCCUUUAGGUUCGGAAUAACUCAGAGAAAUUUGAGCUAAUACCGGAUGAUGUCUUCGGACCAAAGAUUUAUCGCCUUUGGAUGGGCACGCGUUGGAUUAGCUAGUUGGUGGGGUAAAGGCCUACCAAGGCGACGAUCCAUAGCUGGUCUGAGAGGAUGAGCAGCCACACUGGGACUGGGACACGGCCCAGACUCCUACGGGAGGCAGCAGUGGGGAAUAUUGGACAAUGGGCUAAAGCCUGAUCCAGCAAUGCCGCGUGAGUGAUGAAGGCCUUAGGGUUGUAAAGCUCUUUUACCCGAGAUGAUAAUGACAGUAUCGGGAGAAUAAGCUCCGGCUAACUCCGUG
rnacentral:rRNA from 1 species